UCUUUCCUUUCCUUUCCUUUCCUUUCCUUUCCUUUUCUUUCCUUUCCUUUCCUUUCCUUUCCUUUCCUUUCCUUCCCUUCCUUUCCCUUCCUUUCCUUUCCUUUUUUUUCCUUUCGUUUCCUUUCCUUUCCUUUCCUUUCCUUUCCUUUCCUUUCCUUUCCUUUCCUUUCCUUUCCUUUCCUUUCCUUUCCUUUCCUUUCCUUUCCUUUCCNNN
rnacentral:lncRNA from 1 species